rnacentral:rRNA from 1 species
UGGGGGAUAUUGCACAAUGGGGGAAACCCUGAUGCAGCGACGCCGCGUGAGGGAAGACGGUUUUCGGAUUGUAAACCUCUGUCUUUGGGGACGAAUUGAGACGGUACCCAAGGAGGAAGCUCCGGCUAACUACGUGCCAGCAGCCGCGGUAAUACGUAGGGAGCAAGCGUUGUCCGGAAUUACUGGGUGUAAAGGGAGCGUAGGCGGGAUAGUAAGUUGAUUGUUAAAACUAUCGGCUCAACUGGUAGAUGCGAUCAAAACUGCAAUUCUUGAGUGAAGUAGAGGCAGGCGGAAUUCCUAGUGUAGCGGUGAAAUGCGUAGAUAUUAGGAGGAACACCAGUGGCGAAGGCGGCCUGCUGGGCUUUAACUGACGCUGAGGCUCGAAAGUGUGGGUAGCAAACAGG